UAGCUUGGCAUUUGAAUCGGCUUUGCUGUUGCGAAGUAGAGUGGCGGCUUCGGCUGCCGAAGGGUCGAUCCAUUUGGGAAAUGGUGUGUACUUCGGUAUGCAUCUCAAUUGGACCUGAUAUCAGGCAAGAUUACCCGCUGAACUUAAGCAUAUUAAUAAGCGGAGGAAAAGAAACUAACAAGGAUUCCCCUAGUAACGGCGAGUGAAGCGGGAAGAGCUCAAGCUUAAAAUCUCCGUGCAAGUUUUGCGCGGCGAAUUGUAGUCUAUAGAGGCGUGAUCAGUGUGGGCGCUUGGGGCAAGUUCCUUGGAAGAGGACAGCAUGGAGGGUGAUACUCCCGUUCAUCCCUGAGUUGCUCGUGCGUACGAUCCGUUUUCUUUGAGUCGCGUUGUUUGGGAAUGCAGCGCAAAGUAGGUGGUAAAUUCCAUCUAAAGCUAAAUAUUGGUGCGAGACCGAUAGCGAACAAGUACCGUGAGGGAAAGAUGAAAAGAACUUUGAAAAGAGAGUUAAAGAGUACCUGAAACUGCUGAAAGGGAACCGAAUCGUUUCCAGUGUCUAUAAUCCGUGGUAUAUUUCAUUGGCGAGUGUGUGCGUGCGUGUGCUGUGGCAGCGGCUUUUUUGGCUGCGCUCGGCGUGUGUGCUGUGUGUGCUUGCUGGUGCCCUGUGCUGCGGUGGGACGUCAAGGUCAGUUCGUAUGCUGCGGGAAAUGGCCGCCGAGGAGGUAGGGCUUACGCUUGCGUUUGUCUGUUAUAUCUUGGUGGACGAGUAGUCGCGGUUGGGACUGAGGUGCCUACAACGUGUUUUUGAGUGGGCCUGUGUCUCUGUGUGCGCCGUGUGCGGAUAGCUGCUAUGCG